rnacentral:rRNA from 1 species
AAUUAUUAAAGUUCCAACGGUAUAAGAUGAGCAUGCGUCCCAUUAGCUAGUUGGUGUGGUAACGGCACACCAAGGCGACGAUGGGUAAGGGUCCUGAGAGGGAGAUCCCCCACACUGGUACUGAGACACGGACCAGACUCCUACGGAGGCAGCAGUGAGGAAUAUUGGUCAAUGGGCGCAAGCCUGAACCAGCCAUGCCGCGUGCAGGAUGACGGUCCUAUGGAUUGUAAACUGCUUUUGUACAGGAAGAAACACUCCCUCGUGAGGGAGCUUGACGGUACUGUAAGAAUAAGGAUCGGCUAACUCCGUG